CGCCUUCUGCCUAAUUAUAGAAGGUCCAGCCUGCCCAGUGAAUUAAUUCAACGGCCGCGGUAUCCUAACCGUGCGAAGGUAGCGUAAUCACUUGAUUCUUUAAAUGAGGACUAGUAUGAAUGGCACCACGAAGGUUAUACUGUCUCCCAUUUCUAAUCAGUUAAACUAAUCUCCACGUGAAGAAGCGUGAAUAUUUAUAUAAGACGAGAAGACCCUAUGGAGCUUUAAAUAAUUGCAACAUGUAUUUUUAUUAUUUAACUUUAUGAAAAACCUAUAUCUAAACACUUUGAUUGCUAAUUUUUGGUUGGGGUGACCGCGGAGCAUAAAAUAACCUCCAUAAUGAAAGAAAUUAUUUUUCUAAACCUAGAGCUACAACUCAAUGUAUUAUUAAAUUAACAUCCUUUGAUCCAAUAUAUUGAUCAACGAACAAAGUUACCCUAGGGAUAACAGCGCAAUCUACUUCAAGAGCUCCUAUCGACAAGUAGGUUUACGACCUCGAUGUUGGAUCAGGGUAUCCUAGUGGUGCAGCCGCUACUAAAGGUUCGUUUGUUCAACGAUUAAAACCCUA
rnacentral:rRNA from 1 species